UACCUAUACAAAUAUAAAUUAUUUCACAUCCUUUUCGUGGAAAUUUAUGAAUUCAUUAUAAUCGUAAAACGGGUGCUCAAUAAGCCAGCGUUUGAGGCGACAUUUAAAAAUGACCAAAUUUUGGGCGCUGGUGAUGCUGUCAGGGAGGUUGUUGUAGACGGCAGGCCCCAUGACAUGGGUGAGCUUGGACGACUUGGUCAACUUGCGGCCCACGCCGACGAGCUUAUGGGCGUUACGCGUAUUGUAGUUGUGUACCAUACUAUGCGUUUUGUAUGCUGUUAGGUUUGACCGCACAUACACAGCCACCUGUAGGAUGACUAUAGCUGGGUCUAGCAGGAGUGUUGUGUGGUACUCGGGCGAUUAUUCUAACCGCGCGCUUCUGGAGACGGAAAACCCUUUCCCACUCGGCACAGCGUCCCCAUAGCUCCGCACCAUACUGGAUCAGCGAGUGCACUGUGGCAAAAUAGCACGAGCGCGCGACCUCAUCUGACACCAGCCUAGUUACCCGUCCUAAAGCAAAACACGCGCUGCCGAUUCUUCCGCUGAGUCUAUUAAUAUGAUGGUCCCACUUUAAACAGGUAUCUAUUUCGAACCCUAGGAAUCCGGUGGUGCUUAA